rnacentral:rRNA from 1 species
UACGGAGGUCCCAAGCGUUGUUCGGAUUUACUGGGCGUAAAGGGUGCGUAGGUGGUUGAGAAAGUCUGAUGUGAAAGCCCCGAGCUCAACUCGGGAACUGCAUUGGAUACUACUUGACUUGAGGAUCGGAGGGGAGACUGGAAUUCUCGGUGUAGCAGUGAAAUGCGUAGAUAUCGAGAGGAACACCAGUGGCGAAGGCGAGUCUCUGGACGAUUCCUGACACUGAGGCACGAAAGCUAGGGGAGCAAACAGG